rnacentral:rRNA from 1 species
AUUGAACGCUGGCGGCAGGCCUAACACAUGCAAGUCGGACGGUAGCACAGAGGAGCUUGCUCCUCGGGUGACGAGUGGCGGACGGGUGAGUAAUGUCUGGGGAUCUGCCCGAUAGAGGGGGAUAACCACUGGAAACGGUGGCUAAUACCGCAUAACGUCGCAAGACCAAAGAGGGGGACCUUCGGGCCUCUCACUAUCGGAUGAACCCAGAUGGGAUUAGCUAGUAGGCGGGGUAACGGCCCACCUAGGCGACGAUCCCUAGCUGGUCUGGGAGGGUGACCAGCCACACUGGAACUGAGACACGGUCCAGACUCCGACGGGAGGCAGCAGUGGGGAAUAUUGCACAAUGGGCGCAAGCCUGAUGCAGCCAUGCCGCGUGUAUGAAGAAGGCCUUCGGGUUGUAAAGUACUUUCAGCGGGGAGGAAGGCGAUGUGGUUAAUAACCGCGUCGAUUGACGUUACCCGCAGAAGAAGCACCGGCUAACUCCGUGCCAGCAGCCGCCGUAA